rnacentral:rRNA from 1 species
GACGAACGCUGGCGGCGUGCCUAAUACAUGCAAGUUGAGCGCUGAAGGUUGGUACUUGUACCAACUGGAUGAGCAGCGAACGGGUGAGUAACGCGUGGGGAAUCUGCCUUUGAGCGGGGGACAACAUUUGGAAACGAAUGCUAAUACCGCAUAAAAACUUUAAACACAAGGUUUAAGUUUGAAAGAUGCAAUUGCAUCACUCAAAGAUGAUCCCGCGUUGUAUUAGCUAGUUGGUGAGGUAAAGGCUCACCAAGGCGAUGAUACAUAGCCGACCUGAGAGGGUGAUCGGCCCCAUUGGGACUGAGACACGGCCCAAACUCCUACGGGAGGCAGCAGUAGGGAAUCUUCGGCAAUGGACGAAAGUCUGACCGAGCAACGCCGCGGGAGUGAAGAAGGUUUUCGGAUCGUAAAACUCUGUUGGUAGGGAAGAACGUUGGUGAGAGUGGAAAGCUCAUCAAGUGACGGUAACUACCCAGAAAGGGACGGCUAACUACGUG